AAUCAUUAGCCUCUUAAUUAGAGGCUGGAAUGAAUGGUUUAACAUUUCCUCAACUUUUUUAAAAAUUAUAAAAAAAUUUAUAUCAAAUAUAAAAAUAUAUUUAUAUACAAACUAGACGACAAGA
rnacentral:rRNA from 1 species